rnacentral:rRNA from 1 species
GGUGUUCGCCUAAGCCAUGCGAGUCAUAUGUUCUUCGUGAACAUGGCGUACUGCUCAGUAACACGUGGAUAACCUGCCCUUGGGUCCGGCAUAACCCCGGGAAACUGGAGAUAAUUCCGGAUAACGCACAUAUGCUGGAAUGCUUUAUGCGUAAAAUGGAUUCGUCUGCCCAAGGAUGGGUCUGCGGCCUAUCAGGUAGUAGUGGGUGUAAUGUACCUACUAGCCAACAACGGGUACGGGUUGUGAGAGCAAGAGCCCGGAGAUGGAUUCUGAGACAUGAAUCCAGGCCCUACGGGGCGCAGCAGGCGCGAAAACUUUACAAUGCGGGAAACCGUGAUAAGGGGACACCGAGUGCCAGCGUCAUACGCUGGCUGUCCAGGUGUGUAAAAUACACCUGUUAGCAAGGGCCGGGCAAGACCGGUGCCAGCCGCCGCGGUAACACCGGCGGCCCGAGUGGUGAUCGUGAUUAUUGGGUCUAAAGGGUCCGUAGCCGGUUUGGUCAGUCC